UCUCUCUUUUUAAGCUGCAGGCCUCAGAGGCUCACAGCAAGAGAAGAGCAGACACAGGAUGUGAAAUGAAUCCAGGCCUCCUGAGCUCUGUGUCUCUUUCCCCCAGCCCUUUGUGCUCUGACCUACAAAGGACAGGAGUGCUGCGGAGAGCAGGCUGAAGGAUCCAGGGUCAACUCCCAGCUCCCACACGGCUCACAGCUGUCUGGACUCCUGUCCCAGGGAAUCGGUGCCCUCUUCUGACCUCUGAGUGCACCAGAGAGCUCCUUGAGGCCAGGGAGGACGCCUGUCUCAGAGGUUGCGGAGCCCAGACCAAGCCUGACCGCGGACGGACGGGGUAGUGUCUCAUGUGGCCCACACUGGCUUCGAACUUCCUAGAUUACCACGAUGAGUUUGAACUUCUGAUCUUCCUGCUUGUACCUACGGCGGCGUGCAGAGAUUACAGGUAUGGACCCCACACUGGGUUCAUGCUGUGCGAGGGAUUGACCUCCUGCCUAUUAGAUGAAACGAAGCAGAGUCUCACUGAACCAUACUCCACCCAACCCUUCGUGACUGGAAGUGGAAAUUCAGAAGGGAACUGGUGGAUAGGGCAGCCCUGUGGAUCUGGGGACAGGACUGACUCAGUCGCCCAGGGGGAUGGAUGCGGCUCUGGGAAAGUUUGCCUGAAGCUCUCUCUGUCUCCAUGUGGACUGCAUCGAUACUGCUGCUUCUGGGGUCUGGUGCCCUGAUAUUAGCUGGGACACAGGGGAACACCCAGUGCAGAUUCACUGGAGUGCAGGAGCCAUGCUGUCUGCAGCUCAUCACCUAUGGCCCCUGCGGGUUCCACACCCCGACAGCUGCCCAGCUAACCUGUUUACCCCCAGCUACAUGCUCAAAAGAUUCAGCCUUCCAAAGUUUCAGGCACUACUUGAAGGAAACCAGUCCACCCAAGACCAUGUUACAGUUGCAGGAGUCCCAUUUCAGAACGCACCAGGAACAGGCAGUUGCCUAAGGGCAGGAGUGAGUCGAAGGUUGCCAGGGGCUAGAGAUAAAGGGGAGCCAGGUGAGGAGACCACAGAUGGUUGCAGGGGUUCCUUAGGGUCUGUUCUGGAAUUAAACUGUCUUGAUGUUUGCUAAAUGCUACUGGAAGGAAGACGGUUCACACAUAACUCACAUGGUCAACCAACUCUACCACAAUAAAGGCUGUUUUGAAAGGG